CUUCCAGAGAAAGUCCUGAACCUCUGAUGUCAAUCAAUGUCUGGGUGUGAUGAGCCCAGUAGGCCACAGGGGGCAGUGCAACAUCCAGCAGGUUGUGUUGUCUCAGCAAGUACAAGAAACUCUGGACCUUUGGUGGUUCCCUGCAUCAGGCUGUUGGCAGGAGAAACCUUUUGUCAAACCUUUUUGAUUCUGAUGGAGCUUCCAGAUCGGAACUUUGUACACACAAACUAAAAGAAAACCUUCACUAUCCUCAUGGACAACAAACCCUGCAGUAACACAUGCGUACCUCUAGGUAGGACUGAUGGAGCCUGAGCAAAAAGCCUCAGAAACAGCUGGCCUCCACACUCACCUUAGACAACAAGGUCAUAAACUGUAGCUGAUACUGUUUUUAUCUGCCUGGACGUUCUUGUUUUCUCUAGUCCCCCUUUAAUGUUUAUUUAAGGAAUGUUGCACAAGCAAUUUUCAACCACGGUUUUUAAAAUACCUUUUAUUGUCCAUGUAUUUUUUAGUGAUAUUGUUAUCAUAAACAUCACAUUAUCAUUGUGAACCAACAUCAGCGAGAAGAAAACAAAGCAUUUUAAUAUGAUAACAAUUGAUAAAUGUCUGCACCAAUGAA